rnacentral:scRNA from 1 species
CACGUACUCUUGGAUCGACCGAACUCCACCGUC